rnacentral:lncRNA from 1 species
GUCUUUUUGCUCUCUCAGGUAAAUUGCUACUUGCACUUAAUUAUGGAGAGUGGUUGCUUGGAGGCCUUAAUAUGCCUCUACUGUUUUGUAGAGAGUAUCAAAUUAUUACUGGGGACUUUUUUUUUUGAUGGAGAAUGGAGGACAGCUGCAAUGUCUUCCCUUUCAAAACUGAAUAUGAGAAACAGAGGCCACAAUUAAAUGCAAAAACAUAAAUUACAUUUUCCCUUGUUUUAAUGUGAGAUUUGCACUUAACUGGAAAGAGUGACUGCAACAUUCUCUCUACCCAAUUAUUAGUACCAUUGCUGCAGGGAAAAUGGUGGGAGGGUUGGUUGGAUUAUGCAGCUCUGCCAGAAGUACCUUCUACCUUAAGUGAAAACCGGCCAGAACAUACGGAAAAGCCAAGCAGGAGAAUGCAGAGAAGUGUUCACUACUCAUUACUAACAUGCAACACUUGGCCUUGUAGCUCUGCACUGAGCAACAGGAACUGCCACACUGUUUCCAGGAACAGCCAGUGGGGGAUGCUUAGAGAUGAAGAAAAAGUGCAUAUGCAAAAACAUCUUAGCUUGGUGUAUCCUCCUGGCUUUGUGAGGUAGAAGUGCUGAGGAAACAUUAUACAGGAAUACCAUAGUUCAAAGAUUAUUUGGUGCCUCUUUGUGCCAAAAUAAUUAGCCUUCAGCUCCUAGAAGUUGCCAAAAGUUUCCAAAGGGAAAACCCUGUUCUUGUAAACCUCCAGUUUGAGAUUGCAUUCAUAUCCUAAAGUAGAUAAGAGCACAUGGCGAGUAAACAGGAGAAACGUCUGGAUUUGAAGUCCUCCUUUGCUGCCAACAAACCUUCAAGCUUAAUACACAGAAUUUGAGUGCAAGGAAGUGACAAAAUUGGGACCUGAGAGAUCAGGAAGUUCAGUAAUUCAGGCUGUACUGAGCAACGUCAGCAGAGCUAAACAGGAACAGAGAGCAGAGUGUGUGGGUUGUUGGGGUUUUUUGUUUUGUUUUGUUUUUUGUGGUUUUUUCCCCCACCUCAUUUAGUCCAGAGUAAGUGCUGCAUCUUCUGGCAUGGGUAAAUCUUAAGAGACAGAGAAGUAGGCAAAAAAUUAAAUAAAAAGUUGCUGUCUUCUCUGUGUUCCCAUCUGGCAUAAAUAUGCAGUUUCAGAGAGGCAAAUGCAGGUGUCUUCAGCCUCAUGGGAAAGCAUCUGCUGGAACACCUUACUGUCCUUUCAUUCUGGCAGAUUUGCAGUUUUCCACCUUGUGCCUUUUUAUUUAUUUAUUUAUUUAUUUAUUUUGCCCCACUGCAUCAGUUUCAAGCUAUUCAAAACUCUGCACGCCUUUGCUGCCAUGUCUCAGUUCUCUGAAUUUCCUGUGUGGUCUGUCCUGCUGGCAGUUCUACUGCACCUCACUGUCUGCUCCUGCCAUCUCCUUUUAUCAUGGAGCUGGUCUUACAAGACAAAGGUUUUAUCUCUGAUUAUGCUUGUACUGGAAAUUGUUCCAAACACCACCUACCAGAUACCCAAGGAGUUGAGCCUUUCCUUCCUCGUCCUUGUUAUCUAAAAUAAAAAUCAUUAUUGAAGAAUUGAACCUCUGUUUUGUUCUCGUGUGCACUUGCUUUUUGCUGAGUUUCCUUCUAACACCAACAGUGCUUCUUGGGCCUUUCUCUCCUGUCCCGCCUUGUUGUUUUGUUACCACCCACUCAUUAGAUCAUGUCUGAAAUUAGCUUGAGAGAACUACUGGGCAGGGUUGAUUUCUUGUCUUUUUACUGAGGGCUUGGCACAGUUUUGAGUGGCUUUCAGACUGGGGGCAGGGUGAGGAGUGACAGCAACAAAAUAAGUCAUUGUGCAGGUUGGGGAAACCAAGGCAGGAAGGCCAGGUAGCUACAGAAGAUGCUGGUUGAAGGUCUGUACCAGGAACAGUAAGAGCUUAUGUAGCACUAAAGCCUGUGCUUUGUGUAGAU